rnacentral:rRNA from 1 species
UACGUAGGGGGCAAGCGUUGUCCGGAUUUAUUGGGCGUAAAGAGCGUGUAGGCGGCCUUACAGGUCAGCUGUGAAAACUCGAGGCUCAACCUCGAGACGUCGGUUGAAACCGUAUGGCUAGAGUCCGGAAGAGGAGAGUGGAAUUCCCGGUGUAGCGGUGAAAUGCGUAGAUAUCAGGAGGAACACCGGUGGCGAAGGCGGCCCUCUGGACGGAUACUGACGCUGAGGCGCGAAAGCGUGGGGAUCAAACAGG